AAGUUGCAGGGUAUAGACCCGAAACCCGGUGAUCUAGCCAUGGGCAGGUUGAAGGUUGGGUAACACUAACUGGAGGACCGAACCGACUAAUGUUGAAAAAUUAGCGGAUGACUUGUGGCUGGGGGUGAAAGGCCAAUCAAACCGGGAGAUAGCUGGUUCUCCCCGAAAGCUAUUUAGGUAGCGCCUCGUGAAUUCAUCUCCGGGGGUAGAGCACUGUUUCGGCAAGGGGGUCAUCCCGACUUACCAACCCGAUGCAAACUGCGAAUACCGGAGAAUGUUAUCACGGGAGACACACGGCGGGUGCUAACGUCCGUCGUGAAGAGGGAAACAACCCAGACCGCCAGCUAAGGUCCCAAAGUCAUGGUUAAGUGGGAAACGAUGUGGGAAGGCCCAGACAGCCAGGAUGUUGGCUUAGAAGCAGCCAUCAUUUAAAGAAAGCGUAAUAGCUCACUGGUCGAGUCGGCCUGCGCGGAAGAUGUAACGGGGCUAAACCAUGCACCGAAGCUGCGGCAGCGACGCUUAUGCGUUGUUGGGUAGGGGAGCGUUCUGUAAGCCUGCGAAGGUGUACUGUGAGGUAUGCUGGAGGUAUCAGAAGUGCGAAUGCUGACAUAAGUAACGAUAAAGCGGGUGAAAAGCCCGCUCGCCGGAAGACCAAGGGUUCCUGUCCAACGUUAAUCGGGGCAGGGUGAGUCGACCCCUAAGGCGAGGCCGAAAGGCGUAGUCGAUGGGAAACAGGUUAAUAUUCCUGUACUUGGUGUUACUGCGAAGGGGGGACGGAGAAGGCUAUGUUGGCCGGGCGACGGUUGUCCCGGUUUAAGCGUGUAGGCUGGUUUUCCAGGCAAAUCCGGAAAAUCAAGGCUGAGGCGUGAUGACGAGGCACUACGGUGCUGAAGCAACAAAUGCCCUGCUUCCAGGAAAAGCCUCUAAGCAUCAGGUAACAUCAAAUCGUACCCCAAACCGACACAGGUGGUCAGGUAGAGAAUACCAAGGCGCUUGAGAGAACUCGGGUGAAGGAACUAGGCAAAAUGGUGCCGUAACUUCGGGAGAAGGCACGCUGAUAUGUAGGUGAAGUCCCUCGCGGAUGGAGCUGAAAUCAGUCGAAGAUACCAGCUGGCUGCAACUGUUUAUUAAAAACACAGCACUGUGCAAACACGAAAGUGGACGUAUACGGUGUGACGCCUGCCCGGUGCCGGAAGGUUAAUUGAUGGGGUUAGCGCAAGCGAAGCUCUUGAUCGAAGCCCCGGUAAACGGCGGCCGUAACUAUAACGGUCCUAAGGUAGCGAAAUUCCUUGUCGGGUAAGUUCCGACCUGCACGAAUGGCGUAAUGAUGGCCAGGCUGUCUCCACCCGAGACUCAGUGAAAUUGAACUCGCUGUGAAGAUGCAGUGUACCCGCGGCAAGACGGAAAGACCCCGUGAACCUUUACUAUAGCUUGACACUGAACAUUGAGCCUUGAUGUGUAGGAUAGGUGGGAGGCUUAGAAGUGUGGACGCCAGUCUGCAUGGAGCCGACCUUGAAAUACCACCCUUUAAUGUUUGAUGUUCUAACGUUGACCCGUAAUCCGGGUUGCGGACAGUGUCUGGUGGGUAGUUUGACUGGGGCGGUCUCCUCCUAAAGAGUAACGGAGGAGCACGAAGGUUGGCUAAUCCUGGUCGGACAUCAGGAGGUUAGUGCAAUGGCAUAAGCCAGCUUGACUGCGAGCGUGACGGCGCGAGCAGGUGCGAAAGCAGGUCAUAGUGAUCCGGUGGUUCUGAAUGGAAGGGCCAUCGCUCAACGGAUAAAAGGUACUCCGGGGAUAACAGGCUGAUACCGCCCAAGAGUUCAUAUCGACGGCGGUGUUUGGCACCUCGAUGUCGGCUCAUCACAUCCUGGGGCUGAAGUAGGUCCCAAGGGUAUGGCUGUUCGCCAUUUAAAGUGGUACGCGAGCUGGGUUUAGAACGUCGUGAGACAGUUCGGUCCCUAUCUGCCGUGGGCGCUGGAGAACUGAGGGGGGCUGCUCCUAGUACGAGAGGACCGGAGUGGACGCAUCACUGGUGUUCGGGUUGUCAUGCCAAUGGCACUGCCCGGUAGCUAAAUGCGGAAGAGAUAAGUGCUGAAAGCAUCUAAGCACGAAACUUGCCCCGAGAUGAGUUCUCCCUGACUCCUUGAGAGUCCUGAAGGAACGUUGAAGACGACGACGUUGAUAGGCCGGGUGUGUAAGCGCAGCGAUGCGUUGAGCUAACCGGUACUAAUGAACCGUGAGGCUUAACCUUACAACGCCGAAGGUGUUU
rnacentral:rRNA from 1 species